AUUGAACGCUGGCGGCAGGCCUAACACAUGCAAGUCGAGCGAGCGGCGGACGGGUGAGUAAUGUCUGGGAAACUGUCUGAUGGAGGGGGAUAACUACUGGAAAAGCUAGCUAAUACCGCAUACCCUAGGAUGUGCCCAGAUGGGAUUAGCUUGUUGGGGGGGUAACGGCUCACCAAGGCGACGAUCCCUAGCUGGUCUGAGAGGAUGACCAGCCACACUGGAACUGAGACACGGUCCAGACUCCUACGGGAGGCAGCAGUGGGGAAUAUUGCACAAUGGGCGCAAGCCUGAUGCAGCCAUGCCGCGUGUAUGAAGAAGGCCUUCGGGUUGUAAAGUACUUUCAGCGGGGAGGCGUUACCCGCAGAAGAAGCACCGGCUAACUCCGUGCCAGCAGCCGCGGUAAUAC
rnacentral:rRNA from 1 species